rnacentral:sRNA from 1 species
GCGAUGAGCUGAAUUGUGUAAGUCGACAGACAUGCCAACUGGCUAAAUGCACGAUGUGGCGUGCAGUCUAUCGCCUCAAUACGCAAAAAAGACGUCUUUUAGACGUCUUU